rnacentral:rRNA from 1 species
GACGAACGCUGGCGGCGUGCUUAAAACAUGCAAGUCGAACGGAAAGGCCCUGCUUUUGUGGGGUGCUCGAGUGGCGAACGGGUGAGUAACACGUGAGUAACCUGACCUUGACUUUGGGAUAACUUCAGGAAACUGGGGCUAAUACCGGAUAGGAGCUCCUGCUGCAUGGUGGGGGUUGGAAAGUUUCGGCGGUUGGGGAUGGACUCGCGGCUUAUCAGCUUGUUGGUGGGGUAGUGGCUUACCAAGGCUUUGACGGGUAGCCGGCCUGAGAGGGUGACCGGCCACAUUGGGACUGAGAUACGGCCCAGACUCCUACGGGAGGCAGCAGUGGGGAAUAUUGCACAAUGGGCGGAAGCCUGAUGCAGCAACGCCGCGUGCGGGAUGACGGCCUUCGGGUUGUAAACCGCUUUCGCCUGUGACGAAGCGUGAGUGACGGUAAUGGGUAAAGAAGCACCGGCUAACUACGUG